AACGAACGCUGGCGGCAUGCCUAACACAUGCAAGUCGAACGAGACCUUCGGGUCUAGUGGCGCACGGGUGCGUAACGCGUGGGAACCUGCCCUUAGGUUCGGAAUAACUCCCCGAAAGGGGUGCUAAUACCGGAUAAUGUCUUCGGACCAAAGAUUUAUCGCCUUUGGAUGGGCCCGCGUUGGAUUAGCUAGUUGGUAGGGUAAAAGCCUACCAAGGCGACGAUCCAUAGCUGGUCUGAGAGGAUGAUCAGCCACACUGGGACUGAGACACGGCCCAGACUCCUACGGGAGGCAGCAGUGGGGAAUAUUGGACAAUGGGCGAAAGCCUGAUCCAGCAAUGCCGCGUGAGUGAUGAAGGCCUUAGGGUUGUACAGCUCUUUUACCCGGGAUGAUAAUGACAGUACCGGGAGAAUAAGCUCCGGCUAACUCCGU
rnacentral:rRNA from 1 species